rnacentral:rRNA from 1 species
CUUUUUUGGAGAGUUUGAUCCUGGCUCAGGACGAACGCUGGCGGCGUGCCUAAUACAUGCAAGUCGAGCGAACCGAUGGAGUGCUUGCAUUCCUGAGGUUAGCGGCGGACGGGUGAGUAACACGUAGGCAACCUGCC